GCGCCCGUAGCUCAGCUGGAUAGAGUACCUGGCUACGAACCAGGGGGUCGGAGGUUCGAAUCCUUCCGGGCGCGCCA
rnacentral:tRNA from 11 species